UGUGGGAGCGAGCCUGCUCGCGAUGCAGGCGCCACGGUUUUACAGCUGCACCGUGUCAUCGUUCAUCGCGAGCAGGCUCGCUCCCACA
rnacentral:misc_RNA from 1 species